GCCCUGUCCUGUGUAGCUGUUAGACAUAAGGGAAUAAGUACAUUCUAUGUCCUUGAACUUCAACCAAGAUAUCUGUGCUGGACAUGCUCACAGGCACGUAGUAAAUUCUAGGUCCUUGUUCUUUAACCAAGAUAUCUGUGCUGGACGUGCUCACAGGCACGUAGUAAGUUCUAGGUCCUUGAACCUUAACCAAGAUAUCUGUGCUGGACAUGCUCACAGGCACGUAGUACAUUCUAUGUCCUUGUUCUUUAACCAAGAUAUCUGUGCUGGACGUGCUCACAGGCACGUAGUAAAUUCUAGGUCCUUGUUCUUUAACCAAGAUAUCUGUGCUGGACAUGCUCACAGGCACGUAAUAAAUUCUAUGUCCUUGUUCUUUAACCAAGAUAUCUGUGCUGGACAUGCUCACAGGCACGUAGUAAAUUCUAGGUCCUUGUUCUUUAACCAAGAUAUCUGUGCUGGACAUGCUCACAGGCACGUAGUAAGUUCUAUGUCCUUGUUCUUUAACCAAGAUAUCUGUGCUGGACGUGCUCACAGGCACGUAGUAAGUUCUAUGUCCUUGUUCUUUAACCAAGAUAUCUGUGCUAGACGUGCUCACAGGCACGUAGUAAAUUCUAGGUCCUUGUUCUUUAACCAAUAUAUCUGUGCUGGACAUGCUCACAGGCACGUAGUAAAUUCUAGGUCCUUGUUCUUUAACCAAGAUAUCUGUGCUAGACAUGCUCACAGGCACGUAGUAAAUUCUAUGUCCUUGUUCUUUAACCAAGAUAUCUGUGCUGGACGUGCUCACAGGCACGUAGUAAAUUCUAUGUCCUUGAACUUCAACCAAGAUAUCUGUGCUGGACGUGCUCACAGGCACGUAGUAAGUUCUAUGUCCUUGAACUUUAACCAAGAUAUCUGUGCUGGACGUGCUCACAGGCACGUAGUAAAUUCUAUGUCCUUGAACUUUAACCAAGAUAUCUGUGCUAGACAUGCUCACAGGCACGUAGUAAAUUCUAUGUCCUUGAACUUUAACCAAGGUAUUUGUGCUGGACGUGCUCACAGGCAUGUCCCAGCUCGCAGCCUAUGCCCCUUCCUUAUUUGGGAAUGUUAUUACGUUUCUAAGUUCUUUAGCAAGCAACUUCCUCAUUUCCUUUGUUCUCCAUUGCCCUUUGCCCAUUUGGAAAAGUUUUAAGUUGUUAGCCAAUUGGGUUCAGUAUUAGAUUGUGAGGUCUGGCUCCAACCAACAGAG
rnacentral:lncRNA from 13 species